rnacentral:rRNA from 1 species
GAUGAACGCUGGCGGCGUGCCUAAUACAUGCAAGUCGAGCGAACAGACGAGGAGCUUGCUCCUCUGACGUUAGCGGCGGACGGGUGAGUAACACGUGGAUAACCUACCUAUAAGACUGGGAUAACUUCGGGAAACCGGAGCUAAUACCGGAUAAUAUAUUGAACCGCAUGGUUCAAUAGUGAAAGACGGUUUUGCUGUCACUUAUAGAUGGAUCCGCGCCGCAUUAGCUAGUUGGUAAGGUAACGGCUUACCAAGGCGACGAUGCGUAGCCGACCUGAGAGGGGGAUCGGCAACAGUGGAGCGAGGACGCGGGCCAACACUGGAGGGGAGGCACGGGUGGGAAACCUUCGGGAGGGGGCAAAGGCCGAACGGGGAAACGGGGGGUGAGGAAGAAAGUGCUUGGGAUCGUAAAUCUUUGUUAUUGGGGGAAAAAAAAGGUGUAAUAAAAUGGACCCGUUUGAACGUACCCUAAGAAAAAGCCCCGGGUAAACCCGGG